rnacentral:tRNA from 2 species
GGGCCGUUAGCUCAGAUGGUAGAGCAGCGGACUUUUAAUCCGUUGGUCACUGGUUCGAAUCCAGUACGGCCUACCA